CCAGAUCAGUUAAUUGUAACUGCUCGUGUACUGAUGAUGAGGUAUGCAGACACGAGCCUGGGUUCCAUGGGUGCUACUGCAAGGACAAUCGGACUAUAAAUAGUUUCUUAGACUUAUUACCAACCGUAGAGUGUGGAGUGAAAAGCAUGAAAACAACUUUCCGCAAAUGUGAACUGAGAGCCCUGGAAGUUGAUGUUGUCAGGAAUCUAAAACUUAUCAACGAUAAAUGCUUCACUGUCCUAAAUGAUUAUAUUACCAACACCUAUUCAGUUCUUUCCACUCUGCAAGCAGGAACCUGUGGGAUGACUUUGACU